GUAGAGUCAGCUAACU
rnacentral:tRNA from 1 species